rnacentral:rRNA from 1 species
CCUACGGGAGGCAGCAGUGGGGAAUUUUCCGCAAUGGGGGAAACCCUGACGCAGCGACGCCGCGUGCGGGAUGAAGGCCUUCGGGUUGUAAACCGCUGUCGUACGGGACGAACCCCCGGUGGAUGAAUAAGCCAUCGGGCUGACGGUACCGUGCAAGAAAGCCCCGGCUAACUCCGUGCCAGCAGCCGCGGU